UACGUAGGUGACAAGCGUUUGUCCGGAUUUACUGGGCGUAAAGAGCGCGCAGGCGGUCGUUCAAGUCGAGUGUGAAAGCCCCCGGCUCAACUGGGGAGGGUCAUUCGAUACUGAUCGACUCGAAGGCAGGAGAGGGUAGUGGAAUUCCCGGUGUAGUGGUGAAAUGCGUAGAUAUCGGGAGGAACACCAGUGGCGAAGGC
rnacentral:rRNA from 1 species